rnacentral:lncRNA from 1 species
AAAUGGCUUAUCCCUAUAGUAAGGUGUUUGGAGGGUUAGAGUAGAAGGAAAAAAAAUAUGAUAUUUCGAGGCUAUGUAGUGAAUUCAAAGCCAUCCUGAGAUGCCUAAUAAGACCCCACCUCAAAACCUGAUUACUGGCAAAAUGGCUAUGUGGUGAAGUACUUAUCUACUAUGUACCAGGCCUUGGUUUAAACCUCUAGCCCCCAAAACAAAACCUUUCAUGUUAAAGUUUAAUUAACAUUGCAAUUAUAAAGAAGAUGAAAUCAUUAAAAGGUUAUACUGACAUGAUAGCUUAGCCUUCAUGAGUGGGCUAAUGAAGUUAUCAGGGAAGUGUGGUCUUCAACCUUCUACCAUGGGCUGAAGCCACACAAACACUCUCCCUUCCACCAUGAGGUGAAGACACAGAGACACACUCCCCGAAAUCUAGUGCAAUGCCUUCAUAUUUCCUUGCCUCAAAAAACAAUCUGUGUAUUAGACUUGUAUUCUUCAAUUGAUUUAAGACACAGAGUAUUAUGAAUUUCCACAUAUUUGUAAUCUGUGAUGAUUCUGAUAUAUGGUUUUGUAAGUUAACCUGCCAAAAACAUGUUGGAAAACAUAGUAGGUAGGAAAAGAUGAAAACUAAAUCUCAGAGAGACUCGAGUAAUCAUGUUAGCAUGGCUUAGCUGAAUUGUGGUGUUGGAAAAUGUGACCGGAGAGCCUCCUAGAGCCCAAGUAAUUUGCCUGAGGUCUCUUUCCUGCAGGUGAAUUCUCUAGUGGCAGUUAUCGCAAUCAUGCCAGAGGCUUAUUUUCAUGCAGACAUACUCUCUGGUAUUUUCAAAGCAUCUAUUGACACAACUGCCAGUGUAUGCAGACCCAGGUCUACUAGGGAACACCAGCAAUCACUUAACAGUCAGCAUAUUUUAGUGUGCUUUUACUAUAUGGCUAGCAUAUAGUUAGACAUCAAGAGGAUGUAAAUACAAUAUAUCAUCCAUUGGGAUACUUUGUGGGACUAUAAUAUUUACAGGAAUGCAAUAGCGAAAAGGCCAUUUGUUUUUUUAUUGAAAAUAGUUUUUCUUUUCACAUAAUAUUUCCUGAUUAUGGUUUCCCCUCCCUCUACUUCUCCUAGUUGCUUGCCAACUCCCAUCCAUUUCUGAUCUAUCCCCUUUCUUCCUUUCAUUAGAAAACCAGCAGGCUUCUUUUUUUUUUUUUAAGAUUUAUUUAUUUAUAUGUAAGUAUACUGUAGCUGUCUUCAGACACUCCAGAAGAGGGAGUCAGAUCUCCUUAGGAUGGUUGUGAGCCACCAUGUGGUUGCUGGGAUUUGAACUCCAGACCUUCGGAAGAGCAGUCGGGUGCUCUUACCCACUGAGCCAUCUCACCAGCCCCAUCCAGCAGGCUUCUAAUGGAUAAUUCUUUUAAAAAUAUAAUAUAAUAUAAUAAUAUAAAACAUAUACUAACGUAUCAAAAUAGUACAAAG